UCAGGAUGAACGCUGGCGGCGUGCCUAACACAUGCAAGUCGAACGAAGCGACUUCUGAUCGGAGAUCGUCGAAGAUUGGAUUUGACUUAGUGGCGGACGGGUGAGUAAUGUAUGAGCAACCUGCCUUUCAGAGGGGGACAACAGUUGGAAACGACUGCUAAUACCGCAUAAUGUAUAUUGAGGGCAUCCUCGAGAUACCAAAGGAGCAAUCCGCUGAAAGAUGGGCUCAUAUCUGAUUAGUUAGUUGGCAGGGUAACGGCCUACCAAGACUGCGAUCAGUAGCCGGACUGAGAGGUUGAACGGCCACAUUGGGACUGAGAUACGGCCCAGACUCCUACGGGAGGCAGCAGUGGGGAAUAUUGGGCAAUGGGCGAAAGCCCUGACCCAGCAACGCCGCGUGAAGGAAGAAGGUCUUCGGAUUGUAAACUUCUUUUAUGAGGGACGAAGGACGUGACGGUACCUCAUGAAUAAGCCACGGCUAACUACGUGCCAGCAGCGGC
rnacentral:rRNA from 1 species